rnacentral:tRNA from 1 species
GCCUCUGUGGCGCAAUUGGCUAGCGCGUUCGGCUGUUAACCGGAAGGCUGGUGGUUCGAUCCCACCCAUGGGCG